rnacentral:misc_RNA from 1 species
GAAAUGCGAUACGUAAUGUGAAUUGCAGAAUUCAGUGAAUCAUCGAAUCUUUGAACGCAUAUUGCGCUCUCUGGUAUUCCGGAGAGCAUGCUUGUUUGAGUAUCAGUAAACACCUCAACUUCCAUAUCUUUUUUGAAAUGGGAGUUGGACUUGAGUGAUCCCAACGCUUUUCCUCACCGAAAAGUGGCGGGUUACUUGAAAUGCAGGUGCAGCUGGACUUUUCUCUGAGCUAUAAGCAUAUCUAUUUAGUCUGCCUAAAAAACAGAUUAUUACCUUUGCUGCAGCUAACAUAAAGGAGAUUAGUUCUUGUGCUGACUGAUGCAGGAUUCACAAAGACGGCUUCGGCCGACUUUGUAAACUCGAUCUCAAAUCAAGUAAGACUACCCGCUGAACUUAA